CACUAUAUAAAAGUUAGUCAACUUCACGCAAUCUCCCUGAUUUGGGAACUGUUGAUCCAUAAUUUUUACAUCACUUACCCGUGGGCCUUUGCCUUCUAUUUUAGAUUUUCCUUUUUUUUUGUUUGCUUAAUCUUUGAAAUUUGCCAUUCAGGCUACCGGUUGUCUUGUGAGAUCUUCCCGGUUUCUGUUUUGUUGGAGCCGGUCAAGGAUUAGUUAGUUAUAUUUCUACCGCGUGUCCACUACACGUCAUCACUCCAUCUAGAAACAAUUUUACGUGUCCGUCCUGAUUCCACUAUGGAAUAAUCGAGAGAUCUAUAGCAUUAAUUUCGGUUAAGAUUACGAUAGAGCCACAUCAAAAAAAAAAAACAGUCAGUUGCAUCCCCAUGAGGCCACGACCCUACCCGUAUCUCCUCCAUCUCCUUCUUUCAUCAUUCGUCUUCCACCAAACAGGGAUCUCCGCCGCCCACGCCGUCUUUGCCACCCCUUCCUGCAAGAGCGGACGUCGGCGACCUCCUUUGGCUAGGCAGCCGUGUGUUGGCCUUGGGUCUUUCUUUGGCAGCAUGGCGUCGUCUUACUGCAAGAUUGGCUUGCUCGUUGCCUUUUGUUCCUGUCCUGUUUCCUCUCUAGGUUGACUUCUCCGAGGAGUUCUUGCAGGCCUUGCCAGGUUUAUUGGGAUCGGCUUCUCUUCACAGUGCUCCUCUUUUGAUUUAUUGUUUCAUGUCGUUGAUUUAUGUUUGGAUUGGGUAUAUGCCUGUCCUUCUGCAGCUUGGCCAGAUCUGCAUGAUGCACCGCUACCGCAUCGCCGCCCGAAGCUUCGUUGGAGGCGAGGGAAGGUUUUAUGCUGCUGCUCCAGCUCGUGCUACCACGUUUCGAUGCGGGAGAGGAGGGCCGGACCUGGCCGAGCUCGCCGUUGAGGCGCUGCUGGAGCACAAUUGCCUCGCGGCUGGACAGACCCACAGGGCGGAACGUCAGGUACCCGUCCGCCGGAGAUGCCAGUGCAGAUGGCGGCGGCGCCUUCGAGCUGUCGGUCCGCCGCAGGGCCUAUCUUCUCCCUUUUCUCCCUCAGGCACCGCGCCGCCAUGGCCGCCCUUCCUUCUCCGGCCGGUUCCGCGGCAUGGCUUCCUCGGGUGAAGUAGGCCGCCGGGGCAAAUAGCUGCUGCUGCAGGGGAAAACAGAGCAGGAUGUCCACUCGCGCGGCGAAAGACAAACUGCGGGGAGCACGAGGGGGAGACGGGCUGGGCGAUGUGGAGGUGAGACAGUGCAGCGCUGCUCCUUGCUGCGGCGGCUCAAGGUGCUAGGCGUGGUGGUGAUGUAUCAAGGCAGGACGCGAUGGUUGCUGCUGGUGCUUGCUCGGCUCGGCUCGGUGGUUGGAUCGAUUUGCUUGGUGGAGAGAUUAGCAUGCCAGAGCGAGCAGCAGCGCGGCGCGUGAUGCCAGAGUGCGGCGCGUGCGCGCGUGCGGCGCCGCCAAAACAUUUAGCUCGUGCGCGGUGCAAACGCGGCAAACCGCAAAGAUAUUGCGGUCGUGUGCAGCGCAAACGCGGCUCCCGCGGUGUGUCCCGCCUGCAGCGUGAGUUUGCACCACAUCAUUCGCUCACUCUGCCCACUGCUUCCUUUGUUUGUUGUUCCGGAUGGUUCUCCGAUACGGAUGCUGGCAGGCGAAACCACUGAGAGGUCCGUCUAUGCAAGCAUCUGGUUGGCUGCUCUAAUGACUUGCUUUUAUUGAUUCAGCUGUACUUUCAUCUCAGCCUGCGUCCGUCGGCGUUGAAAACAAGAUGACGAUGAAGAAAGAAGAAAGCAAGCACACCACCGCAUCUCCCUUCGAUGACGACGCUGAGUCCUUCAAGAACGAUGGCGAACCUUCAGUCUGUCGCUCCAGAUCUUGCCAUCUACGAUGAGAACUCCGACGCCGAGCACUACUGAUGCGCCAAGAAGCAGAAAUAUUCCUUCCUUAUUGUCCUACUUUUUUGCCUGCUUAUUUAGCUAGGACAACCGGAUAUGUAUCAUGUGAAGUCGACGUAAUCUACCUUUUGCUGUAUCCGUUUAGACUA